AGGGUUCGAUUCUGGCUCAGGAUGAACGCUGGCGGCGUGCUUAACACAUGCAAGUCGAACGGGAUCCAUCAGGCUUUGCUUGGUGGUGAGAGUGGCGAACGGGUGAGUAAUGCGUGACCGACCUGCCCCAUACACCGGAAUAGCUCCUGGAAACGGGUGGUAAUGCCGGAUGCUCCAGUUGAUCGCAUGGUCUUCUGGGAAAGCUUUCGCGGUAUGGGAUGGGGUCGCGUCCUAUCAGCUUGACGGCGGGGUAACGGCCCACCGUGGCUUCGACGGGUAGCCGGCCUGAGAGGGCGACCGGCCACAUUGGGACUGAGAUACGGCCCAGACUCCUACGGGAGGCAGCAGUGGGGAAUAUUGCACAAUGGGCGCAAGCCUGAUGCAGCGACGCCGCGUGAGGGAUGGAGGCCUUCGGGUUGUAAACCUCUUUUAUCGGGGAGCAAGCGAGAGUGAGUUUACCCGUUGAAUAAGCACCGGCUAACUACGUGCCAGCAGCCGCGGUAAUACGUAGGGUGCAAGCGUUAUCCGGAAUUAUUGGGCGUAAAGGGCUCGUAGGCGGUUCGUCGCGUCCGGUGUGAAAGUCCAUCGCUUAACGGUGGAUCCGCGCCGGGUACGGGCGGGCUUGAGUGCGGUAGGGGAGACUGGAAUUCCCGGUGUAACGGUGGAAUGUGUAGAUAUCGGGAAGAACACCAAUGGCGAAGGCAGGUCUCUGGGCCGUUACUGACGCUGAGGAGCGAAAGCGUGGGGAGCGAACAGGAUUAGAUACCCUGGUAGUCCACGCCGUAAACGAUGAGUGCUAGGUGUUGGAUCCUUUCCGGGAUUCAGUGCCGCAGCUAACGCAUUAAGCACUCCGCCUGGGGAGUACGACCGCAAGGUUGAAACUCAAAGGAAUUGACGGGGGCCCGCA
rnacentral:rRNA from 1 species